UACGUAGGGUGCAAGCGUUAAUCGGAAUUACUGGGCGUAAAGCGUGCGCAGGCGGCUUUGCAAGACAGAUGCGAAAUCCCCGGGCUCAACCUGGGAACUGCAUUUGUGACUGCAAGGCUAGAGUACGGUAGAGGGGGAUGGAAUUCCGCGUGUAGCAGUGAAAUGCGUAGAUAUGCGGAGGAACACCGAUGGCGAAGGCAAUCCCCUGGACCUGUACUGACGCUCAUGCACGAAAGCGUGGGGAGCAAACAGG
rnacentral:rRNA from 1 species